ACUCUUGGCGGUGGAUCACUCGGCUCGUGGAUCGAUGAAGAACGCAGCCAACUGCGAUAAUUUGUGCGAAUUGCAGACACAUAGAGCACUAAGAAUUUGAAUGCAAAUUGCGCCAAUAGGCUUGUUCCUAUUGGCACGUCUGGUUGAGGGUCG
rnacentral:rRNA from 1 species